CUAAUACAGCAAGUCGAGCGGACAGAUGGGAGCUUGCUCCCUGAUGUUAGCGGCGGACGGGUGAGUAACACGUGGGUAACCUGCCUGUAAGACUGGGAUAACUCCGGGAAACCGGGGCUAAUACCGGAUGGUUGUUUGAACCGCAUGGUUCAAACAUAAAAGGUGGCUUCGGCUACCACUUACAGAUGGACCCGCGGCGCAUUAGCUAGUUGGUGAGGUAACGGCUCACCAAGGCAACGAUGCGUAGCCGACCUGAGAGGGUGAUCGGCCACACUGGGACUGAGACACGGCCCAGACUCCUACGGGAGGCAGCAGUAGGGAAUCUUCCGCAAUGGACGAAAGUCUGACGGAGCAACGCCGCGUGAGUGAUGAAGGUUUUCGGAUCGUAAAGCUCUGUUGUUAGGGAAGAACAAGUACCGUUCGAAUAGGGCGGUACCUUGACGGUACCUAACCAGAAAGCCACGGCUAACUACGUGCCAGCAGCCGCGGUAAUACGUAGGUGGCAAGCGUUGUCCGGAAUUAUUGGGCGUAAAGGGCUCGCAGGCGGUUUCUUAAGUCUGAUGUGAAAGCCCCCGGCUCAACCGGGGAGGGUCAUUGGAAACUGGGGAACUUGAGUGCAGAAGAGGAGAGUGGAAUUCCACGUGUAGCGGUGAAAUGCGUAGAGAUGUGGAGGAACACCAGUGGCGAAGGCGACUCUCUGGUCUGUAACUGACGCUGAGGAGC
rnacentral:rRNA from 1 species